GGCGGCGUGCUUACACAUGCAAGUCGAGUGCGCGUCUGUAGCAAUACAGAUGGCGCACGGCGCACGGGUGCGUAACACGUGGGUAAUCUGCCCUUCGAAGGGGAAUAACUCGCCGAAAGGCGAGCUAAUUCCGCAUAACAUUCCGAGAACCUUGGUUUUUGGAUUCAAAGGCGUAAGUCGUCGGAGGAGGAGCCCGCGCACGAUUAGCUAGUUGGUGAGGUAACGGCUCACCAAGGCUAUGAUCGUUAGCUGGUCUGAGAGGAUGGCCAGCCACACUGGAACUGAGACACGGUCCAGACUCCUACGGGAGGCAGCAGUGGGGAAUCUUGCACAAUGGGCGAAAGCCUGAUGCAGCGACGCCGCGUGGGGGAUGAAGCUUCUCGGAGUGUAAACCCCUUUCGAACCGGACGAAUGCCCCGCAAGGGGACUGACGGUACGGGUAUAAGAAGCCCCGGCUAACUACGUGCCAGCAGCCGCGGUAAGACGUAGGGGGCCAGCGUGGCUCGGAAUUACUGGGUGUAAAGGGUUCGUAGGCGGUGUGGCAAGUCGGGAGUGAAAUCUCUAGGCUCAACCUAGAGUCUGCUUCCGAAACUGCUGUGCUUGA
rnacentral:rRNA from 1 species